UCCCCGGCCAUGGGCAGGAGGUAGUUGGGCUCCAAUUUCAGUUCCUUCAUUUCUGAAUGCCUUGCUUGACAUACUUUAAAGGGUGGGGGGCUGGGUUUUCAGAAAAUGCUGAGCAGCAACUCACUGGAAGUUGUAUUCUUUUUUAGGGUGUCUUAAGGGAAUGCCCACUUUCAAAAAUCGUAGCCAAAGUGAUUUGUCAGAGCUGGGAGCAGACCUUGGGCUUUUGAACUCCCGAUUCCACAAAGGAAACAUUAGAGAUCACCUCUGCCUGGCGCACAGUACAGCCUCCCAGUUCUUUCAGAUGGCUUCAAGCAUUAAGAUACAAAAAAGGUGGAAGGGAAGAAGCCAGUAUCAUAGCUCUCAGAUCAACUGGUUAUAUAAUUCCUCCACCUAAACCUCUAUGUUUAUGCUUAUCAAGUCCCAACAGCUCCAUCUGCUGCUUUACAAACAGACACGAUGAAAUAAGCCUGGUCCCAAGGAGCUGAAGCCUGGGAAAGUCUGGUCACAGCCAGAAGACUAUCUGUUUAAUCAUUAAAGAGGAAAGGUUGCCAUUUGCGAGAUACAGCUACUUUGCUACAUGGAGCACUGGAGCGCAGGUCAAUGUUGUCAGAGAGGCUUCCUCAGCUGUAUUUUGGAUGGAUAUGAGAAGCUCAAAAUGAGAAGAAAAGGUAUAAGAACCGAGACGUCUGCUGCUAAAACAGGAAGCAAGAGUUAGACUAAGGGACUGCAAAGCUUCUAACCAUGAAUGGGUCCAUGAUGCAGGUUUGAUUCCCAGUUGGACUAGAUCAUCUCUUGAGGUCCCCUCCAUCCCUAUUUCUCUAUGAUGACGAGGAGCCAAGAUGAAGAAGACAGGACCAAGUUGUACAGGAAAUUUGCUCGAGGCAAAAUCUCUGGUCAGGCAAAGCCCAGAAGCAACUUAAUGGUACACUUAAUCCUUUGUUGAUUUUUUUUUUUGGUUCAUAUAGAAAAAGCAAGGUCUGGUGGCUCUUAUGUGGAACCUGUUUUUGUUAUGUCAAUACUAUCAGUUUUGUGGCUUUUUUUUCUUCCUAGGGAGGCAUUAUUACAAUCUCAAUUAAAUUUAUUUUCCGUUUAGUGUCAUGCCUAUUAUGAGUUUUCCAUGUGUUCUAAGAUUUACUGCCUUGUUUAUAACAUUGGGAUUUUACUGAAUUGCUCAUUAACUCAAUAUUUGUGAACGCAUUAGGAGUAGGAUAUUUCAAACCCUACCACAUCAUUGUUGAACUAAUUUUGUUUUGUUGAAAUCACUGUUGGAUUGACUGUUGAUGGGAGCUUUACCAUUGACUGCAAUGAAAGCAGAAUUAAACCUCAAAUGAAAGCGGAAUUAAACUGCCAGGUACUUUUGAGAAUGGGUAUUUCUCAUAUAUGAGUAUUUUUCUUCUAAGUAUAACUAUAUUCCCUAUAGGAUCUUUUGGACAGUGAACAUUGUUUUGGUCUGUGCUUUUGUAGCCUUCUCCACAAUGCAGUCCUGGCCCAUGACAAGGUCUUUUAGGGCACGUCUACACUGCAGUGGCAGUGUGCAUCAGCCAAGAUGCUACUAAGUAUGCCCUGCCCACACAUGCUCCAAAACUGGAAAUGAAGGUGCUUUGGGGAUCAAUCCCCAGUUGCUCUAGCGACCUUGGACUCCAGAAUGCUUGAAGAUGGCUGCUAAGAACAACCAUAGGGAAUAUUUAUUGGAGAGGAUAGAUGGGGCAUGCUUGGAAAU